rnacentral:rRNA from 1 species
GACGGAGGAUGCAAGCGUUAUCCGGAAUGAUUGGGCGUAAAGCGUCCGCAGGUGGCAGUUCAAGUCUGCUGUCAAAGACCGGGGCUUAACUUCGGAAAGGCAGUGGAAACUGAACAGCUAGAGUAUGGUAGGGGCAGAGGGAAUUCCUGGUGUAGCGGUGAAAUGCGUAGAGAUCAGGAAGAACAUCGGUGGCGAAGGCGCUCUGCUGGACCAUAACUGACACUCAGGGACGAAAGCUGGGGAGCGAAUGGG